AAUACACCGCUGGCGACCGGCGCACGGGUGAGUAACACGUAUCCAACCUGCCCUUUACUCGGGGAUAGCCUUUCGAAAGAAAGAUUAAUACCCGAUGGUAUAACAUGACCUCCUGGUUUUGUUAUUAAAGAAUUUCGGUAGAGGAUGGGGAUGCGUUCCAUUAGGCAGUUGGCGGGGUAACGGCCCACCAAACCUUCGAUGGAUAGGGGUUCUGAGAGGAAGGUCCCCCACAUUGGAACUGAGACACGGUCCAAACUCCUACGGGAGGCAGCAGUGAGGAAUAUUGGUCAAUGGGCGAGAGCCUGAACCAGCCAAGUAGCGUGAAGGAUGACCGCCCUAUGGGUUGUAAACUUCUUUUAUAUGGGAAUAAAGUUUGCCACGUGUGGCAUUUUGUAUGUACCAUAUGAAUAAGGAUCGGCUAACUCCGUGCCAGCAGCCGCGGUAAUACGGAGGAUCCGAGCGUUAUCCGGAUUUAUUGGGUUUAAAGGGAGCGUAGGUGGACAUGUAAGUCAGUUGUGAAAGUUUGCGGCUCAACCGUAAAAUUGCAGUUGAUACUGCGUGUCUUGAGUACAGUAGAGGUGGGCGGAAUUCGUGGUGUAGCGGUGAAUGCUUAGAUAUCACGAAGAACUCCGAUUGCGAAGGCAGCUCACUGGACUGCAACUGACAC
rnacentral:rRNA from 1 species